AAGCCCAGAACAAGGGUCACUGGAUGUGGGUUCAGUUUGCCUUGUGAACUUAGUGGUUGUUCUGGGGCAGCUCUCGUCACUGCCUUCUCUGAGCCACCCUAUUCAUCCAGGAGAACUCAGGACCUGCCAGCCCGAGCCUUCUCAC
ensembl:miRNA